rnacentral:rRNA from 1 species
UAGUGAUGCUGCGCCGAAGAUUUAACGGGGCUAAGUGUAUAACCGAAGCUUAGGCAGUUUUAAAACUGGGUAGGGGAGCGUUCCAUAUAGGGCGAAGCAUAAGCGAAAGCGUGUGUGGACGGUAUGGAAGUGAGAAUGCCGGAAUGAGUAGCGAGAAUUGCGUGAGAAUCGUAAUGGCCGAAAAUCUAAGGUUUCCAGGGGUAGGUUCGUCCGCCCUGGGUAAGCCGGGAGCUAAGGCGAGGCCGAAAGGCGUAGUCGAUGCACAUACGGUAGAGAUUCCGUAGCCGCCGAAGAUUUAAAUAUACUGACACAUGUGAGGAGCGCAAGCCGGGCGUUGGUAGACCCGGUCGAAAGGGACUGAAAUAUAGUAGGGAAGUGCGUAAGUCAUGUGGCGAGAAAAGGUAUAUGUACAUUGAAGGCGCCCGUACCGCAAACCGACACAGGUAGAUGAGGAGAGAAUCCUAAGGCCAACGGGAGAAGGGUUGUUAAGGAACUCGGCAUAUUAACCCCGUAACUUCGGGAUAAGGGGAGCCUCCGAAAGGAGGUCGCAGUGAAAAGGCCCAGGCGACUGUUUAACAAAAACAUAGGUCUCUGCAAAACCGAAAGGUGAGGUAUAGGGGCUGACGCCUGCCCGGUGCCGGAAGGUCAAGGGGAACACUCAGAGCAAUCGAAGGUGUGAACUUAAGCCCCGGUAAACGGCGGCCGUAACUAUAACGGUCCUAAGGUAGCGAAAUUCCUUGUCAGGUAAGUUCUGACCCGCACGAAUGGCGUAACGAUCUGGGCACUGUCUCAACAGCCCGCCCGGCGAAAUUGUAGUACCGGUGAAGAUGCCGGUUACCCGCGACUAGACGGAAAGACCCCAUGGAGCUUUACUGUAGCCUGAUAUUGAGAUUCGGUUCAUUAUGUACAGGAUAGGUGGGAGACUGUGAGACAAUGGCGUCAGCUGUUGUGGAGUCGUUGUUGGGAUACCACUCUUGAUGAAUCGGAUUUCUAACCUGCGCCCGUGAAUCCGGGCGGGGGACACUGUCAGGUGGGCAGUUUGACUGGGGCGGUCGCCUCCAAAAGAGUAACGGAGGCGUUCAAAGCUCGGCUCAGCGCGGACGGAAAUCGCGCAAUGAGUAUAAACGUAGAAGCCGGGUUGACUGCGAGACCAACAAGUCGAGCAGGUACGAAAGUAGGAGUUAGUGAUCAGGUGGUAGUGAGUGGAAAUGCCAUCGC